AGCUCUUUUUGUCAUUGCUGGUCAUGGCUUCCUGUUAUAAGGAGCAGACGCAUUUGCUGGUCUCUCUGGCCUCUGGAUGGGGCCGCAGAUCGAUGAGAUCCAGGAAAAGCCUGUGCCUGCUGUCUGGAAGCCGAGGCCGACAGGAAGAGGAGAGGUCCCAGGCCCCUGCAACCAGCCAAGCAGUUCUCCGAACACGCAGAGCAUUGGCCCCUGCAGGGCCGCCAGCAGAUUGCCGGGAGCUGCCUGCACACGUGGGAGGCUGUGGCCACGGCCUUUCCAGUGAGUCCCCUGGGGCAUCCGGGGGACAGAGGAACUGCGACCCCUGAGUGCGCUUCCACUCAGGUGCAGCUCUGUGGGAAAUUCCUGCUCUCUGGAGCCUGGGACUCAUCCUGAACUCACACCGAACCCAACGGAAGCUUGAGCUCUAGUUGCAGGCUGACCCUGGGAGGAGAGGGGUCUGUCCGCUGUGGAUUGGACCUGCAGUGGUGGAGUGGUGGGUGCCACUGCACGAUGAGACAGGACCUCGCUGGCCUCUGGCCUUGGCCAGAGCUCUGAGUAAGAGCCAGCAUGGGGGUGGGGACUGUAUUUUGAGUUCCCGACCUUCCCCGCUUCCCGCUGUGAUCUCAGCUCUUCAACGCCUCUCUGAGCUCUAGUGUCCGUGUCCUUAGGAAGACUGCCCUCACACAGUGCCGGCAUGGCCAAAGGUGCCCAGCGCACUGUCGACUCAGAUCUGACGGCUCGUUGGCCGGCCCUGCUGUGGUGCUCAGAGCUUCCAGAGACCGGCCAGAGGCGUUCUUGCUUGUGAACUGAGGAUUGAAGCCAAUGGGCCCUUAAAGCCUCUCCCAGGCUGGGAGAGGGAAACUGUGGGACACCAGUUUCCCAAGGUCCCUGUUCCAGCAGCUGCUCCCUGCAACAGGCAGACGAGCGCACGCACACACGUUCGCGCCUGCUGCUGUGAGCCCGAGCUCUCUGUGUUGCUGGACUCCCAGGGCUGCCUCAGCCUCAGAAGGUCAAGAAUGUGUGAAAAAACGGGAGCCGCUUUGCUCUUCCGGAGAGUGGGGAGGUGUCGGGGGGAGGGCAGCGUGCAGUGCUGAUGGCCCUGCGUGUCCUGCGCAAACACCCUAGCAAGCCUGCAGCCGCCUUGAGAGUGAGCGCGGAGAAACCGGGCGGGCUGGCUCCCCGCCCCUUCCCCGCAUGGCCUGAGGGGCCCUGGAGCGCCUGGAUGAUGCCGGUGACACCUGCCUCUGAAUCUCUCCCUCUGGUUUUGGCGCAGAGGCAAAGGAGGCCCAAGCCCUUUCACUUGCUUCUGUCCCUUACACAGAGGCCGGCCUCGGCCUGAAAAAGACGCGAGGAGAGGACCCUGCUUCAAAGGUGAAGGAUCCACACGGCUGCUGCUUUAUCCAUGGGUAAGUAUUGAACACAACUAUUUUUCUGCAAGCAUUCUCUGUCCCUAGCACUUACCUUAUUUAUUUAUUUUUUCAGGUCUGCAAAUUACUUCAAAUAAACAAACUAGUACCCAAAGGGUAGUGGCCGGAAUGCCUGGUCCCUGCUAAACGGCUGCUCAUGGGCGCGUCGGCCUCGCGGCCCCGUGUGAGGUGGUGGACGAGCAGCCGUGCUCAGCAUGUUCUGCUCUGAGCUGCGAGUUGGUGACUUCCAUUCUCUUGCUUGGUCUUGCACAGGUUAGCCGUUCCUGAAGGAGAACCUCAGCUCUCAGUGUUCUCUGGAAGCCUCUCUCACCUGCCCGGGGCCAGGGUCUGGCAGCGGAGCGCAGACUCUGGGGUGCCGCCCCACGGGCCUCAGCGGGAACACCGUCGUCCGCGCAGGUGCCAGCAGCUGCACAGGAGGACACCUCCCCGGCUGGGGUCUGCCCUCGCGGAGCAGGGACGGGCUCCAGGCCUCACCUGUGGGAAGGCGGCGCCCUGGCACCCCGCUCCCCCUGCUGCCCGCUAAGCGGCCGUGGCGCCCGCUCUUCGGUGCACGAGACGAUGCGCUCCGGCCGUUGCAGGGACUGAGACGAGACACGUGAAGGCUGUGCGCACAGCAAAGGGCCUUGCCCAGGGAGAUGCUUAGUGACGGAGUUUCUUCCCCCACUUGGAAGGUGCACCAUGUUCUGUUUCCUGCCUCAUGGCUGGGCCUUCGGCUGCAGCUUCACCGGAGGGUUUCCCCUCCCAGCCCCUGCGGGACUCGCGCCUGUGCUCCCCACCAGCCUGGGAGUCCUGCAGCGGCACUGACCACCCAGGCCCACAGUGGGGUGGCAAUCUGGAGGCCACGUGGACCCGUUUCUCUCCCCACUGGCUCUCAGGGGAACGUGCGUUUCUGAGCACGAUCACCCGCAAGUCUCCUGGGAGAAGGGUCUGAGGGUUGCCAGGAAGCACAGCAAGUGGCCUCAGGGGCUCCAGGCAGCCCUGGGCAGUGUGGUCGAGGGUGGGGAAGCAGAGCCAUUGCUGGCUUCUGCCAGGUGACAGGGAAGCUCCAUCUUCUGGGUUUUCUGGGUACAUGGCAAGGUGUCAUUUUUUUUACGUUGGAAAACAAAAGGAGAGCCUGUCCCCAAAUAGUCAAGGGACCUCUCUGAGUAUUCUAGACACAUGGGUGGCCUUGCUCUUCAGCCAGUUACAAGUGGCUUUGGGAAAACUGUGUUGUGAGCCAGAAAGCAACUAAAUAUACGUACACAUAUAUAGCUGUUGAAACACGAGCCCUAAUUCUGCUAAAUCCUCUCGUAGAACCAAUGGUAGAACCAACACUUGGUUCUACCAAGUAUUCUACCAAGGUUCUACUUGGCAACUGGAAUGAGAAUCCGUGGCCCUCAGGGCAGCUGACCCAGGCUUUGCAACAGCACCGGCCUCGGCUGCGGGUGUUGUCAUGCCCUGCAUGCACUCGCUGGUAGGGUGGGGCUGCGCCAACAGAGCUGGGUGGGGCUGAGCCUGGCCUCGCACCCUGAGCGUCUCCGUAAGCAAAGGGCAGCUCAGAAGCAGAGCUAAGAGUUGGACGCCCUGACAUGGGUGUUUCUCACUUGCCAGGACCCCAAGGGUUGGGUGUCAUUUUCCAUCCAGGGAAGGACAGGAUACUGAGGGGCCCAUGGUGAAGUGACUGGCUCAAGGUCGCCAGCUGGUGCACACCUCCAGGCAUCGGCAAGGGUCCUGGGGCAUUGCUUUGUUGCAGUUCUAAAGCUCAUCUGGAACUGUCUACAGGGCUUGGGGAGUUGUGUGUCCGGACUGAACUUCUCAGAUGUCUGCAGGGCCAGGGGGAGGGAGAGGGAGAGAGAUUGUAUGAGCUGCCCUGUCCUCCCUGCCUGGGUUCUGGCCCCAGGGCUUGGUGGCGAUUAGGCUUGUUUUGGCAGGACCUGCUGUACUGCUGUUAUUUUUAUCUCUGCUCUGGGUCGCAGUUUACCUUGCUGUUCUUGUUCCCCGUAAACACAGCUUGCAGCCUUCCCGGCUGCCUCUGUCUUGGUGUUUAGGACUCCCUCCCUCCUGCAUUUCAGCACUUUCUGGCAGGCUCAGCAACAUUGGGAAGCUCUUUCCAGCAGUGGACGGGGUUGAGAAAGUGCCGGAAAACCAUAUGUGGCCCACUGGGCUCUUAGCCCCUCAGCCCCUGUCUCCAGAGCCGCCUUGCUCUGCCCAGUAAAGCAGCAGACUGGCUGGAACGGCAGGGGUGGGGGUGGGGUGGUGGGAGGGGGAGCAGCUGGGAUCCCC